rnacentral:rRNA from 1 species
UGAGGGACGAGAAGACCCUAUAGAGUUUUAUAAUUGAAGGUUUAAUUAAAUUUGGUUUAUUAAUAAUUUUUAUAUUUUUAAUUAUUUGGUUGGGGUGACUGAAAAAUUGAUUAAACUUUUUUUAAAUUAUACAUUAAUGUAUGGGUAUGAAUGAUCCUGUAACACUGAUUAAAAGAAAAAAUUACCUUAGGGAUAACAGCGUAAUCUCUUUUUAGAGUUCAAAUUGAGAGAGGGGGUUGCGACCUCGAUGUUGGAUUAAAAUUAACUGCAGGUGCAGAAGCUUGAAAGUUUAGUCUGUUCGACUAAUAAAAUUUUACGUGAUCUGAGUUCA